GAAAAGAAGUGAUAAUGAGAUUUACCAAUAGUAGGCAUGGUUGUGGUAAGGGUUUCUCCGGUUUUGAGUUUGUGCAUUAUUGAUGAUUUUCCGGCAGCGUCGAGACCGAACAACACUAUCCUCGAUUCUUCUUGGUGGAAAAAACCGGCAAAUGGCUUUCCCAGAGCUGUCCCCAUUUUUUUCUGGUUCUUGCAACGAAGUUGACUUUGUUUGUUUCGCUUUGGAAAAUCUGAAUCACAAGGAGAGUCCUUGAGAGAGUUUUUCAAAGUCAAGUGGUGGUUAAAGCUUAAGAGUUAAGAGUUGU